rnacentral:lncRNA from 1 species
UGCACCUGCCCCAUGCCCAUCUCCACACCCCACCUGCGCUUGUGCUCCCAGCGCUCUCCACCAGGAAUCCCUUCCUCUCCCAUCCCAAGUCCUGCCAUAUUGCAAGGCCAGCUCAAGGUCCACACCCCUCCACCUUGCAUCCUCCCCCCCGACCCCCGUCAUCCCAGUCACAUCAGUCUACCUGCCUUGGCACCUGGAAUACUACUUCCUGAUUAUCACAAGACUUGCUGUGCUACCUUUUGUGGUCAUUUC